rnacentral:tRNA from 1 species
UCGGCGGGGUGACGCGGGGUACGGGGCCGCUGGACCUGGCCGACCUGCACGCCGGAGGGGUGGUGGCCUUCCAGGGGUCGCUGUCGGAC